rnacentral:lncRNA from 1 species
GCAUGGGCCCAGUCUAUAAAUGGAAAGGAGGAUGAGGAAUUAAACUUUUGACGAGGAAAUAUCUAGAAGAAGCAUAACAAGAGAAUAAACCAAUGGAGAGUAGCAAUAGAAAAGGAAAAUCUUCUGCAUUGCACGUUAAACGGAAUGCAAUAUGUUAAGCAGCAUGGGAGUCGACCAUGGGAAGCACUAACCCGUCAAAAAAUAUUGUUGCUCGUUACAAGGUCAAGAAGGCCUUAGAGUUUUGUAUAAUACUCAAAAACUCGUCUUGGAGAGAGAAAAAGUUUAAAGGGGGACACAUCUGUCCUGAAGGAUACAUCCACAUUGGUUUACUCUCCUCUUACCUUCCUUUUGCUGGUUUUAGCUUCUUGCAAUGAAUUUGUACUCCCUUCAUUUUUUCAAUGAGAUAGGUGAAACUUCUCUCACCCAUUUUCUUAGAAAAAAAAGCUGACUCAUGAAUAUUUGCUCUCUCUAGAACCUUCGAAAAUAAUGCGACUCUUUAUAUUGGUGAAAGCACCUACUGUUGGACUUUGGAAUUGGCCAAUAAAGUGGCACUUGCCUGCAAAGUGAGAUCCAUGGAACUCUUGAAAAUUCCUUUUCUCAGGAAAACAAAACUGGUGCAUGAAUACUUGCUAUCUUUCGAACCUUCGAAAUUAAUGCGACUCUUUAAAUUUGUGCAUGCAUGCGCUCUUGAGUCUUGAACUAUAAUUCCUUUUUCUCCAAAAGAAAAUCUGACAAUAUAAAUGCUUACUCCUCUCUCUCUCUCUCUCUGCUUCGAAAUUAAUGCGACUCUAAUACAUUUGUAAAUGCAUGUGUUAUUGAAAUUUUAAAAUUGGUUAACAAAGUGAUGGCUGCCUGCUCCAUGAGAUAUCUGGAACUCUUGAGUGUUCCUUUUCUCAACAAAAAAACCCAACUUUGAACGGAUGCAUGAAUACUUGCUCUCUCUCCCCCUCUCCCUCUCUCCCUCUCUCGGACCUUCGAAUUUUAAAGCAACUCUUUAAUGAAUUUUAAUGCGUGUGCUAUUGAACUUUUAAACAGGUCGCCGAAGUGGCGCUUGUCCGCCAAUUUAGUGAGAACUACAAUAAUAUAUAGCAUCAAUAAUGCAGUAAUAUCCACCCACUGAUAUCUCUAUCACUCUCAAACCUUCGAUAAUUUUCACAUUUCAUCGAUAGAGUGCCAUGCAUUUGCAUGACAAAUUAAAAAUCAGAUAAAAAGAACAGUACAAGAGCAUAAUGCAUUAACUCGUUGCUUCAGGCCGGUCAGUCGACGCUGGUCUCCGGACAGGAGGGAUACCGCUCGAUCGAGGCUUGAGGGCUGCUCGGAUGGCGCCGGAGAGGAGGGAAGAGGAGGAGAUCCUCGGACGGAGGCCAAGCUAGAGAAUCAGUAAAAUUUGGAAGAAACACCAACGAACACACGAACAAGAGGAGGUGGAGAAGGAGGAGAACA